rnacentral:misc_RNA from 1 species
GAAAUGCGAUAAAUCAUGUGAAUUGCAGAAUCGUGAAUCAUCGAGUAUUUGAACGCACAUUGCGCUCGGCAGUUAAUCUCCGAGUACGCCUGUUUGAGGUCGGGUAACGACUAUUGAGGGCCGCGGCCCGAGUUGAGCCGUCCGCGAGAGCGGUCGCUCGAAAGGGAGGGAGCGAGUGCGGGAGAGAGAGAGAAUUAUGAUGUCAAACACAUCUUCUCGACGGUCUCCCGCGCGUGCUCGCACUAUUCGGGUGUUGCAGAAAACGACCUCAAAUCAGGCGGGGCUACCCGCUGAACUUAA